AGCGACAGCGACAGAGCUGCAGACCAAACCAAAAUAAUAACAUAAAUUGUGUAAAGUGCAAAAGAGGUUACACAAAACUAUAAGACGAGUAUUCGUGGAAGAGCAGAAAGGCUGGCCAAAUAUAUGUACAUAAUAUAUAUUUUGCAUAAGUAAAGGAUAAUUUUUUUUGUUUUUGUUUGGAGGAUUUUUUAUUGUGUUGUUGAUGCAGCAGCAGCACAACGCAGAAGUGAAAUCGAUAAAUAACGGCAUAACGAACAACGUAAACAAGGCAAAGCAACAGAAUAGCCCCGCAAAGAAAACGCAACAACCAAAAGUACAGAUUUAAUGUCGCAGUUAAUUUGUGUGCUAGAAAGAAACAGCAAUAGCAAAAGCCACAGAAGCAGAAACAACAACAGCAGCAGCAGCAGCUGAGGCAGCAACAACAAAAAAUCAUAAACGAAAAACGUACGACGCAACCGCUGCGUGUGUGUGUGUGUGUGUGCGAGUGUGCACGAGCAGGAUAGCUAGAAAGCCAUAGUGCGAGGCUACGCGUGUGUGCAAGCGAGCGAGCAAUUGGGCUCUGCGUCGACGGCGGCAGUGGCAGCGACAGCGACGACAACAACGAUUUUGACACAAUUUAAAAAACUUCAAGCUCUUUGCAGUUGAAAGUUUGUUUCUAAGCUUGACUUCUGUCUGCGCUCAAUAACAGAAGAAAGAUCACAUUUGUGUGUGUUUUCCUCCCACACACACACACACACACACCCAUUUACACGAACUGAGCAUUUUACGGUGGGCGUGUCGUUAGUGACGCAGGCACUCCCCACUCUGCAGCACCCAAAAAAAAAAAUCUAAAGACGCAGUUUUGGAUUUUUGUUGCCCCUGCCGCCUGCAAUAACGGAAGAUAACAAACACAACAAGACCAACAAAGAGCCACCAUCGUCUCUUCUCUUUGCGCUAUCAACGCACCCCCCAACGAACAUCAACAAAUAAGUAACAGAUCAAGGGAAACAGCAGAGGAACGGGGCGUAUAAGCAGCAACUGAAAACAUAUGAUUUUUGUUUGUGUUGUUGUUUUUGCGCGCGCUCUGCUGUUGCUGUUGCGGGGAACAAGUGGAAAGGGAACGAGCGAAUAGAGGGGAACAAGAGAGAACGGCCAAGUGCCUGGCUGCUGAUUCAGACCAACGGAACACCAAAAGGCAAGAAGAGUGGGUUGACGACAACAGUGGCAGUAGCAGUAGCAAAAACAGAGCAGCGGAGCUGUGGGAAUAAAGAAGCGCAAUUGAAAGAGGCAGCAGCAGCGCAAACGCGGAGGCUGAGGCAGCGCAGCGCUCAUUCCCUAUUCGAGAUUGCACAGACAGGCUGUCUCUGUAGGUGGGUUCCAACAGUUCCAACUGACCCUGCUGCCCCAUCCAUCCAUCCACUCACCCGCCAACCGACAGCCGCAGCUGUGGAGAGCAGCGCACUUCGAGGAGAAUCAACCAACGAGUAGCAAUUCGAAGGACCCGAUAACCACAAAAAUCCCAUCCACAUCAUGUCCGCGGACUCGCCACGCCGCCAUCCGUCCGGCGUUGGCGGGGGCGGUGUCGGUGGAGGGGGAUUGCGCGGUGGCGGCCAGGCUGUGCCGGCCAUUGUGCCGCCCCAGACGGUGUCGGAUCGCUCGAUACUGGACUCGGCAAUUGGUUUCAUCAACGAUGUCACCCUGGCCAAUCAGCCGGUGCAGGAUCCCAAGGACACAAUCACCUGGGCCCGCUUCGAGACCUGUGCGGACGUGAGCGAUCCCCGUUUUGGUGAUGAUUGGGAACUGGAGGGCAAUGCUGCUCCGCCGCUUCUCCUCAUCCUCGGCUAUGGCCUGGGUGUGCAAGUCUGGGCCAUACCCGCCAACGGGGAGGCCGUUGAGGUGCUGUCCUGGCGCCAUGGCGUCGUCACAGCCCUCCGAGUUCUUCCGACACCGGCCACCGCACCAGCCCUCGAUGAGAACGGACGGGCCGAUGAGCCAGUGGAUGCCUUUGCCGAGAAACGACCCCUGGCUGCCCUCGUAGAUGGUGGCAGUGCGGCGGCCAGCGGUUUUAUGUCCGGCGGCAGUGGCGGCUCUGGCAUCGGUGGGGGCAGCGGCGGCGGAAUCGGCUCUGGCAGUGGUGGCAGUGCCUCUGGAGUGGCUCAAUUCAGUGCAGUCAAUUUUCUGUCGCUCAAGACGGGCGUUCAGGUGAAGACAAUCAAAUUCAAGAAUGCGGUGCUCGAUAUCCAAGCCAACCGUUCGGCUGUGGUCAUCACAUUUCACGAAAGGAUCGCCGUCUUUGAUGCCCGGACACUGGAGGAUCGCCUAACCAUCACAACCUGCUAUCCCAGUCCGGGAAUCAAUCCCAAUCCGAUUGCCCUGGGGCCACGCUGGCUGGCCUAUGCAGAGCACAAGCUGCUGCACUCCAAGCGCAGCGGCGGCGGCUGCGAUGGCGAGGGUGUGCCCAGCUAUACGGCCACUGUGCUGAAUGCGGCCAAAUCGCUGGGCAAGGGUCUGCGAGAGUUGGGCGAACAGGUAGCAGCAGGUUUGACUGGGGCCACGGCUGGCAGCGGUGCCAGCUCAAAGAGCAGCAGCUUCGAUUCGGCUAGCGGUGGUCCGGAUGCCAAGCAGUCUGGUGUGGUCACCAUUAUCGAUGUAAAGCAUCCUGUUAAGGACUACAGCCCCACGACCGGCACACCGUUGAGCUCGACAGGCGGCGCUCAGGCUGGCGGUGAUCCGAUUGUGGCUCAUUUUGUGGCCCACAGCGAGGCAUUGGUAGCCAUGGAGUUUGACAGCUCCGGGAUGCUGCUGCUGACGGCCGAUCGACGAGGGCACGAUUUUCAUGUCUUCCGUGUGCAACCGCAUCCGGUGGGGCCCUGUCUGGCGGCAGUGCAUCACUUGUAUGUGCUGCAUCGGGGCGAUACGAGCGCCAAGGUGCAGCACAUUGCCUUCUCGCUUGACUCGCGUUGGGCGUCGGUGUCGACGCUACGCGGCACCACACACGUCUUCCCCAUAACGCCAUACGGCGGCGCCAUGGGCGUUCGGACGCACACAUCACUGCAUGUGGUCAACAAAUUGUCGCGCUUCCAUCGCAGUGCCGGCCUUGGGUCCGAUGGACGCUCCAGUUCGCCCAUUUCGCACUCGGAGAGCACCACAUUUGUUCAGUCGCUGCAGCCGUAUCACAAUCCCACGCUUCCCCCCUAUCCGCGGCCGUCGGUGGUCCAGCCCCUCGCUCAGCUACGACAGCCCUUUACCCUUGGUUCGCCGCCUGGUUCGGCUGGCGGCCUUGGUGGCGUAGUGGGUGUCGGGGCCGGAGUCGGCGGGGGUAUGGGUGUGGGGAGCCAUGGUGGCGGCAUCGGUGGCGGCAACAGCAGCCAGAGACAGCGACAGCGACUCUCCUCGCUGUCGGAUGACAGCGGGAAGCCAUUGAGCGUCUGCUCAAUAUUCGCCAAAUCGCGCUCCUGGCUGCUGGAGCCGCUGACGACAACACGAGAGGCACCGCAUCGCGUUCAGCGCAAGGCCGUCGACUCGCUAUUCGUGAUGGCCGGCCAUGGAGCGCUCAUCCAGUACGAUCUGGACACGAAGUUACCCUCAAAUGUUGCCAAAGAGAAGAUUUGUGAUGACACGCCCAUUGAACUGGAGGUGGAGGCCCGAGCGCAAUGGAAUCUGGGGCGACGCAAGGAUGGAUCUCAUGAAAUCGUACCACCGCUGGCGCUGGACAAUUGGCUGAUCAAGGAUCGCCAUAGCAGCCUGCUGCUGGACAGUGCCCAUCAGUUCGAUGAGCCCGACGAACGUGCCGAGAGCUGGUUAGCCCAGGUCGAGAUCAUAACGCAUGCGGGACCCCACCGACGCCUAUGGAUGGGGCCGCAGUUUGUGUUCAAGAACUACAAUACGCCCAGCGGCUCAAAUUUGAACCAUGUGGAUGCUGAGGCUGUAGAGAUUGGGGUUACAAAGACAACAACCACAACGCUACCCUCAACGGUGGCUGCCUCGUCAAUGGGACCUGGCGUGGCAACUGGAGUGGCAGCCAAGGAGCGUUCGAGUCCCCUGAAUAUGCCACUGAAUGCGGCCGCCUCUCUGGCAGCCAACUCGGGCAUAGGAAGCACUGCAGGUCGUAGUGGUCCUGGAGUGCCGGUGCUUAUCGAAUCCGGUUCGUAUAGCAGCAUUGAGCAGAGCCCCAAGCUGAUGGAUCGCUUCCGGCAUGGCCAUUUGGACUCGGACUACGGACAUGGCGAUACACGGCUAAAGGAGGACCUGGCCGAUGCCAUGCGAGAAUCGCCAUCAAUGGCAGCCACGCGACGCGAAACGGGCCAACCAUCAGGUUCUUCGGCAUUGGCUUCUUUGGCGGAGGCAGCCUCCUCCUCCGUCUCGGCCAGCGAUAAUGUCUGCUACUAUGACGCCCUCGCCGAGCACGAGCACCUAAACGAUCCUGAUCACGAUCCCGAAAUGGUGGGAGGAGGUGAGGCGCCAGAUAAGGAUAAUUUGAUCGAUGAGGCGCCACGGACGGCAUCAGAUGUGAGGACAAGGGACCUGGGAAAGGCAGAGCGACGCCAUCUGAUCGAGCACAUGAGUAGCAGCAGCAGCAGCAGCAUGGCCGCCCUGGCCUCGGUGCUGCCCAAUAUAUGCAGCUACGACUAUCCCACCGGUGGACAUCAUUACAGCGGCGGCCAUUCCAGGAUCGAGAAGAUCGUCAAUCCGCUGGGCACGGUUACGGAUGUGAAUGCGGGCAUCUCGGGUGAGCUGCAGACGGACAUGCUAGACGAGGUGGUGUGCCAGCUGGCAGCCGAGGAGAGCAUCAUCCAUGAGAACUGCGACGAGGCUCUGUUCCGGCCGGUGGUGGCCAUCUUUUGCAACGAUCUGGUCGAGCAGCGCAACCAUCAGCAGCAGCUGUUGCUGGCCAAGGAGGAGCAGGCCGCCGCCGCUGCCGCUGGCUUGGGACCGGGAUCAAAGGGUGGCGAAAAUGAUCACUGCAAGCCGCCGGUGGUGCUGGCCAAUAAGCUCAUUGUGCCCGUCAUUGCCAAGGAAGUGGACGAGGUGCUUGUCCAAAAAGAAAAGCAAAAGUCACAGAGAUCCCAGCACCAAAAGGCGCAGCAGCAGCAGCAGCAGCAGCAGAAAUCUCAGCUCAAGUCCCUGGCCGCUGCCGAAGAUGCGGCCCAGGCACAGCGAUUUGCCGAGCUCUCGCAUCUCAAUAAGCCCAAAGGAGGGCCCAACAGCAGAACUGCCAGCAGUCAGAGGAACGCCACAGAGGAGGAAAAGGUCAUCAGCAGUGGUGGUGCCAAGGCAUCUAAGAAAGGCCCCAAGCAGAAGACGAUCCUCAACAACAAAGGAGCAGACAAGAAACUGCCCUCCGUGGAAGUGGAAACAAAGGAGAAGCUUAAGAAGCAGACACAGGAUAAAAUGCAGGAUCUAGAUGAAAUAAUUGUAGUCGUGGAAGAGGGUGAGGACGAGUCAGAGGUAGAGUCGGAUCAUGCUGAUAGCUUGCUGGCCAAUAAGAGCAGUAUUGCCGCCGUCAUGGUGAGCAGUGCCAGCGCCCAGGGAUUGAGUCUACUUGUGGAGACGACCACGCAAACGGGCGAGGAUAAUACCGAGGAGGAGGCUGAAGAUGACGAUAAUAAUAAUGAUGAUGAUGUUGUGGAGGAGGAGCUGGAGAAGGAACUCCAAAAAGACAAGAAAAAGCUGGAAACCAUGACAAUCGAAAGGGAGAAGGAAAAAGCCAAGGAAAGGGAGAAUGAAAAGGAAAAGGAGAGGCUCAAGGAAAAGGAGAAACUUCAAGCGAAGGAAAAGGUAAAGCUGGAGAAGGAGAAGGAGAAGCAGGCUAUCCAGGAGAAGCAUAAGCUAGAAAAGCAAAAGGAAGUGGAGAAAGAGAAAGAGAAGCUGAGGCUGGAAAAAGAAAGGCAGGUCCAAGAGAAGGAACGGGAGAAAGAGAAGCAGCUUCAAGAGAAGGAAAAGCUGAAACAAGAAAAAGAAAGGCUCGAAGAGAAGGAGAAGCUGAAACUCGAAAAGGAAAAGGAAAAGGAAAAGCAGCUCCAAGAGAAGGAAAAGUUGAAACUAGAAAAGGAAAAGGAAAAGCAGCUGCAAGAACGAGAGAAGGAGAAGCAAAAACUCGAAAAGGAAAAGCUGGAAAAAGAGAAAGAAAAGGAAAUGGAGAAGCUGCGUCUCGAAAAGUUAAAACUUCAGGAAAAAGAAAAACUCAAAGAGAAGGAGAAACUUCAGGAGAUGCUAAAGCUCGAAAAGGAGAAGGAGAAAGAGAAACUCCUGGAGAAAAUUAAGGAAAAAGAAAAUAACCGAAACCCAGAGAAGCAGGGUAAAGCAGGCGAGAUCUCUUCCGCAACAACGACGAGCUACUUGGUGAAGGUAAUAGAGGAAGCUGCUCUCAUCAAGAAGCCGAUCGUUUCUGCAACGGUUCAGGCCAGUCCGUGGAAGCGAGUCGUUGUCGACAGCGAUGAAGGCAGCGUUCCCAAGCAGCUGUCGUCAGCGGUGCAGCAGGAUUAUCCCACAUUGGGCAAGAAGCAGAGUAAACCCAGCAGCCCAGAGAAGACCACUGGCCCACUGGCAAAGCCCCCCCGUGCAGCCAAAGAUAACUUUGAGGACUUUUUGAGUGGCAUGGAGUCGCUGCCACCGCUGCCUGAUCUCGAGCCGCUCGAGGUGAAGCAGAAUGAGACGCAGCAGCAACUCAUCUCGGAGGGUGGCGCGUCGCUGAGUCUGAUCAAUUUCGAGAGUCCGCUGCAGGAGAGUGCGGCGACGAUUAUGCCGAUCAAGAUCACGCCGCCGCCACGAGGAUUCACCGAGAAGAACCUUGUUCUGGCCCUUUGCGGUUCCCUGCACUAUGAGGAGGAGCAGGAGCAGGAGCAGGCUCGAGAGCGGCAGAUGGCAGGCACCGAAAUUGAACUGGAACUGAAGCCCCAUCCGUAUGUGCUGCUGAUGGCCGGAGAUGAGCAACAACAGUCGCCGCUGGGCUUGCUACAAAAGUCUACAUCCACGUCGAACAACUCAUCUGGCUCCGAGGAGAUUAUCCUCAUGGAGGAACCGGCCAGCAAGAAGCUCAGCAAGAAGCACAAACGCAUGAAGCAGCUUCAGCUGCAGCAGCAGCAGAAGGAACGGGAGAGGGAGCGGGAGCGGGAAAGGGAGAAGGAGAAGGAACGUGCCAGAGAACGGGAGUCGGAAGAUGAGGAACUUCGUCCGCUCAUCAGCAUUAGUAUGUGCGAUUCUCAGCUGGAGAUGCACUCGCCCGUUAAAAAAUCAAAAGCCAAACGAUCCGAGAAGGACCCAAUCGAUGCGGAUGCGGAUGCGGAUGCGGAUGAUGAUCCCGAGGAUGAGGAGGAGGAAGAAGAAGGCGAGGAGGAGGAGGACGAGUUGAGCCAAACACUGCCGGAGGAUUUGCUCCAUUUUGGGAGCAGUGGCGUGGCCACCAGCGCCACCACUGCCACCACGAACACCGCAACAACAACAGACAGCGAGGGACCCAUCCCGGCCACCACAUCCGAUGACAAUCUCGUGUAUAGCUCAUCCACAGCCGCAUCGCCGCCGCACAAGCUCAAGACCAAGAAGCUGGAGCAUAAAAUAAAUCUAAUAGCAGCCAUCGAGGCGGCCACCUCAUCGUCCACUUCCUCGGCGGAGGAGAGUAGCGUGGAGACGGCCGGUCCCAUUGUGGUCAGUGGUGCAGCCCAUUCGGAUGCCAACCCAUCUGCAGGCACGGCCACGGCCACUGCGGCUACCUCUGGCGGUGCGUCUGCGAGCUCCGCCAUUCCCGCGACUGGAGCUAGUUCCCCCGCUGUGGGUCUGCUCCAUGGCGGCUCCACUGUGGGCAUGGCCGUGGCCAGUCAGCCGAGUGCCACAAAGAAGAAGACGAAGCGGCGCAAGAGAUAAGAAUUAGCGAUUUGUUUGCUGUGCGUCUUCAGUCUCGUUGUGCUCUGGCACUUGUAUGCAAGCCAGGAGAGAGGUGUGAGUGCUGGUAACAGUGACAGUAACAGUAUCAGUGCUAGUGCCCUCCAUCAGGAGCUUCAGGUAGUGCAGGUAGUGGAGCAGGAGCCAACUGAGGUGCAGGCAACAGUACAGCCAUCACAGUCUGAGACGGAGCAGAAUAAGGAUCAGCAGCAUCAGCAUCAGCAGCUAUCGGUCAAAGACAUUGCCAGUGCCAGAGCCAAGUAGUGGCUACAACAACAACAUCCAAAGACAGCAGCAAACAAAAUUCCACCACACAAGCGAACAGCAAGGGCCAUUUCGUCACAAAAUUGAGUUUCAGAAUAAACAUAAAGAGAGAGAGAGAGAGGGAGAGAGAGAGAGAGAUGAUGAACCGUACUCCAUGGUGAAAUUACUUUGUACAAGCGCUUGUCUUUUUGAGCGUGGUGAAUAAGUUAGUGGUCCUUCCCACUGCGGACAACGUCACCUUGUUGGUAGUAAUUUCAGCAUGCCGUGCACCGUACAUCGUUCCCCUCCCACUUCGGAUGGAUACCCGCCCAACCAUAAAAGAUACAAGAUUCUAGCUUAAUUCUUUAGCUGUUUUGCCAGCAAAAUAUCACCAGAAAAGCAACAAACCGACAAGAAAAACACAAGAAAAACACAAAAC